rnacentral:rRNA from 1 species
AGCGUUGUUCGGAAUUCCUGGGCGUAAAGCGCGCGUAGGCGGCUUUGUAAGUUAGAGGUGAAAGCCCGGAGCUCAACUCCGGAAUUGCCUUUAAGACUGCAUCGCUAGAAUCAUGGAGAGGUGAGUGGAAUUCCGAGUGUAGAGGUGAAAUUCGUAGAUAUUCGGAAGAACACCAGUGGCGAAGGCGGCUCACUGGUCCGGUACUGACGCUGAGGUGCGAAAGCGUGGGGAGCAAACAGG